UCUAAAUAUGGACAUUCACCUAAAAUAUAAUAUUUUAUAACAGACAAUGAAUACAUUCUGACUAUUUGUGUAAAAACCCCAUUUCGAAUAUACUAGUAGCUGAUUGAGCAUCAAAACUUUCCUCACUCUCAGACUGAUCUUCAACGCUUUCAAAGUCAUUCUCAGAAUCACUAACAACUUGAUCAUUUUCAGCAAUUUUUGAAUCUUCCCCUUCAAAUUCGGAAUCUAUAUCAACCACAUCGAGCUCUAAUUCAUCACUACUCUUUGAGGGAACAGUGUGGUUACUAGGAUUGUUACCUGAUGGAGGGCAUUCAGUGGUUGGAUUGUCAGGAGGAUUAGGGUCUGGAGGCUCUUGAGUAGUGUGGUAUGUGUGUGCAUUUUCUGUCUGGUUUUCUAGUAGUGGAGGGCUAAUUUGCAUUAUCUUUUUGGAUUUUAGGAACUGAGGUGGAUAUAUUUUGUUGUUUUGGAACAUCAGAAGUAGAGGCGAUAUCAGAUUGGUGAUUUGAUUUGGAAGUACUAUCAGGGAGCAUCUGAGAACCUGUCUUAAUGGAAGACUGCACAUUAGGGCUUGUUUGAGGUGUUGUGUUUUGAGGUUUGUUAGGCUUUGCAUUUGGAUUAACUUGGCUUGACUCAACUGUUAGUGGAGUUGGUUGUUUUGUGCUAUGAUGCUGAUGAGUACUAGUCUGUUGUUUGCUUUGAUAACUUGCCAUUGCACCCUUUUCUUUGGUCCAUUCUUGUACUUCGACGCCUCGUGGAAUUGGGCUAUAUGUUCAACUGGAUUGUUCUUGUCCAAAACUUGUUUAUGUUUGUCGUGCGUUCCGUCAUUUGUUAGCUGUAUAGUUGGUUGAUUUGCCCUCUCUGAUUGUGAAUUCUUCCAUGUGAGAAUAACUUCCUGAUGAGGUUGUUGUGGCAGCAUAUUGAAGUUAGUAUUCCCAGUUGUGUGUUGACGUAAUUUCUUUUUUCCUCUUUGAACUCUCCAUUGAUCAUCAAUCUCCUCAAUGUUGGUUGAGGCUUUAGCCUGAACUUCUUCAUCUCUUUUCUUAUUUCUGCAGGAGAGUAGAUCGUGACCUUGCAUACAACAAUAUUGGCA
rnacentral:lncRNA from 1 species